CAGUUUAGUAGUUUACUUAAAAUUCUAGUUUUGGGGACUAGGGACCUCUCUAUACAGAGCUAUCUGG
rnacentral:tRNA from 1 species